rnacentral:rRNA from 1 species
GACGAACGCUGGCGGCGUGCUUAACACAUGCAAGUCGAGCGGUAAGGCCCUUUCGGGGGUACGACGAGCGGCGAACGGGUGAGUAACACGUGGGUGACCUGCCCUCAGCUCUGGGAUAAGCCUGGGAAACCGGGUCUAAUACUGGAUAUGACUCCAUGACGCAUGUUGUGGGGUGGAAAGCCUUGUGCGGCUGAGGAUGGGCCCGCGGCCUAUCAGCUUGUUGGUGGGGUGAGGCCUACCAAGGCGACGACGGGUAGCCGGCCUGAGAGGGCGACCGGCCACACUGGGACUGAGACACGGCCCAGACUCCUACGGGAGGCAGCAGUGGGGAAUCUUGCGCAAUGGGCGAAANCCUGACGCAGCGACGCCGCGUGAGGGA